AAAACUAUACUUUCAGGGAUCAUUUCAAUAGAAUAUGACUAGAGAAGUUUCUCUGAUCGUGUAGAGCACCCGAAGCUAUGAGGAGGAUUCAGAAUGUCGUCUCCUGAGUGAGAAUCCAGCUCUAGGUGUUGCUUCUGCGACUGCCUCUGCCAUUUAUGACUGCUUUUUCCCUUCCUUUGAAAGGGAUAGAGGGAGAGGAUGCAGUCUGAGUGGU